UACGUAGGGUGCGAGCGUUGUCCGGAAUUAUUGGGCGUAAAGAGCUCGUAGGUGGUUCGGUAAGUCGGAUGUGAAAUCUCCAGGCUCAACCUGGAGGGGUCAUUCGAUACUGCCGUGCUUGAGGACUGGAGAGGAGACUGGAAUUUACGGUGUAGCGGUGAAAUGCGUAGAUAUCGUAAGGAAGACCAGUGGCGAAGGCGGGUCUCUGGACAGUUCCUGACGCUGAGACACGAAAGCCAGGGGAGCGAACGGG
rnacentral:rRNA from 1 species